rnacentral:rRNA from 1 species
UCUGGUUGAUCCUGGCAGAGGCCAUUGCUAUUGGAGUCCGAUUUAGCCAUGCUAGUUGUACGAGUUUAGACUCGUAGCAGAUAGCUCAGUAACACGUGGCCAAACUACCCUCUGGAGCGCGAUAACCUCGGGAAACUGAGGCUAAUUGUGCAUACCGCUCUCACGCUGGAAGUGCGGAGAGCUCGAAUGCCCCGGCGCCAGAGGAUGUGGCUGCGGCCGAUUAGGUAGACGGUGGGGUAACGGCCCACCGUGCCAGUAAUCGGUACGGGUUGUGAGAGCAAGAGCCCGGAGACGGUAUCUGAGACAAGAUACCGGGCCCUACGGGGCGCAGCAGGCGCGAAACCUUUACACUGCACGCCAGUGCGAUAAGGGGACUCCAAGUGCGAGGGCAUAGAGCCCUCGCUUUUCUGUACCGUAAGGUGGUACAGGAAUAAGUGCUGGGCAAGACCGGUGCCAGCCGCCGCGGUAAUACCGGCAGCACGAGUGAUGGCCGCUCUUAUUGGGCCUAAAGCGUCCGUAGCUGGCCGCGCAAGUCCAUCGGGAAAUCCGCACGCUUAACGUGCGGGCGUCCGGUGGAAACUGCGUGGCUUGGGACCGGAAGAUCCAGAGGGUACGUCCGGGGUAGGAGUGAAAUCCUGUAAUCCUGGACGGACCACCGGUGGCGAAAGCGCUCUGGAAGGACGGAUCCGACGGUGAGGGACGAAAGCUCGGGUCACGAACCGGAUUAGAUACCCGGGUAGUCCGAGCUGUAAACGAUGUCUGCUAGGUGUGCCACAGGCUACGAGCCUGUGGUGUGCCGUAGGGAAGCCGUGAAGCAGACCGCCUGGGAAGUACGUCCGCAAGGAUGAAACUUAAAGGAAUUGGCGGGGGAGCACUACAACCGGAGGAGCCUGCGGUUUAAUUGGACUCAACGCCGGACAUCUCACCAGCAUCGACAGUAGCAAUGAAAAUCAGUGUGAUGAGCUUAUCGGAGCUACUGAGAGGAGGUGCAUGGCCGCCGUCAGCUCGUACCGUGAGGCGUCCUGUUAAGUCAGGCAACGAGCGAGACC